AAAGUCGUAACAAGGUUUCCGUAGGUGAACCUGCGGAAGGAUCAUUAACACGUAUCCUACGUAUCAACCCCUUCGUGCUCUUUUUGUUUAUAGUUGUUGAAGGAUUUGGCUUUGGAUUAGUGCGGGUCGCAAGACCUCGCUAGUUCCAAGGUCAGAGACUUUCAUAGCUUUAACUUUAACCCCUUUGUAAACAUUUCUUACUGAAAUACUGUGAGUGCGUGCUGGAAACGGCCGUACGAACAAUAUUACGAAAUGCUGACAACUCUUAGCAACGGAUAUCUUGGUUCUC
rnacentral:misc_RNA from 1 species